CCAGCUUUUCAUAUUAAAAUUUUUCAAGUCUAGGUCACUUGAAAACCUCCUGUUUGUCUUCAGAUAUGUAUGACAAUGGUUGAUUUUACAAGCUCAUAUUGCAAAAUUAUUACAGGUUUUUAGAAGCAAAUGUAUCCACAACUGUAACAGAUUUUCAUUUUUGGAUAUUGGCUUGUCAGAGCAAGACGCUGGAUCUCCAGCCAGGCACCAGAUGUUUUUAUUGAGGGGAAAAAAAGAGCAUUAAGAGCUUUUAAAUCUUAUAUUAUUACUUUGAUCAUAUAAGAAAUAAUUGUGACAUUUCAUGCCUGGAAAUGUAUCACGGGGGCUUUCGUUCAUAUUGACACUAUAUAUUACUGAAUGGAUCAGUUAAUAUAUAACCAGUUUAAAGGACCUGAAAAUGUAGUGACAGCCAAGAAGGAUAUUUUGAAGUUUGAAAUGAUCCCUAUAUAAAUAGAACGGAUCAGCAUAACUUUGGGAUAAAAUUAGCCGACAGUUUGUGGACUCUCCAGCAUGCGCCUGUUUGCUCGGUGCUGUUCUCUCGAUAAAUCACAACAAAGCUUCCAGAGGGAGAGGAAGGAUGGACGGCACCACUGCCCCUGUCACUAAAUCUGGAGCUGCCAAGUUAGUUAAGAGAAAUUUCCUUGAGGCGCUAAAGUCCAAUGACUUCGGAAAAUUGAAGGCUAUUUUGAUCCAAAGGCAAAUAGAUGUGGACACUGUUUUUGAAGUCGAAGAUGAGAAUAUGGUUUUGGCAUCUUAUAAACAAGGAGAUGCAGAAGAAACUGACUGAGAGGCCAAGGAUGACUGACUCACAUAAUACACGAACAGGAUAGAGUCUUUAGGUGCUACCUGGAAGUUAGGAGGAGGAAAAAAAUUCAACUAGCAAAUGCAUUUCCAUAUCAGAGAUGUGAAAUAUUACAGAUGAAUUGAGGAUCUUCUUCCUUUCCUUGUGAUUUGUGAAGCAGGCUUGGAGGUUACUGGUUGCCUAGCUAUAAAUUGAAGUCUUCCUGGGCCACAGGCCUCCAUCUCUCUGUCUUGUUUGGCCAUGUGGAAUGUCUUCUGGUGCUACUGGACCACAAUGCUACAAUCAACUGUAGACCCAAUGGGAAAACCCCUCUUCACGUGGCUUGUGAAAUGGCCAAUGUGGAUUGUGUUAAGAUCCUCUGUGAUCGUGGGGCAAAGCUCAAUUGCUACUCCUUAAGUGGACACACAGCUUUGCACUUUUGUACAACUCCAAGUUCCAUUCUCUGUGCCAAGCAAUUGGUUUGGAGAGUCUCUUCAGCCCUGUCCUGGAG
rnacentral:lncRNA from 1 species